rnacentral:rRNA from 1 species
AACGAACGCUGGCGGCAUGCCUAACACAUGCAAGUCGAACGAAGGCUUCGGCCUUAGUGGCGCACGGGUGCGUAACGCGUGGGAAUCUGCCCUUUGGUUCGGAAUAACAGCUGGAAACGGCUGCUAAUACCGGAUGAUGACGAAAGUCCAAAGAUUUAUCGCCAGAGGAUGAGCCCGCGUUGGAUUAGGUAGUUGUUGGGGUAAAGGCCUACCAAGCCGACGAUCCAUAGCUGGUCUGAGAGGAUGAUCAGCCACACUGGGACUGAGACACGGCCCAGACUCCUACGGGAGGCAGCAGUGGGGAAUAUUGGACAAUGGGCGCAAGCCUGAUCCAGCAAUGCCGCGUGAGUGAUGAAGGCCCUAGGGUUGUAAAGCUCUUUUACCCGGGAAGAUAAUGACUGUACCGGGAGAAUAAGCCCCGGCUAACUCCGUG